rnacentral:pre_miRNA from 1 species
AAUGGGAUAACUGGGUCAAAUGGUGGCUCCAUUCCAAAUUUUCUGAGAAAUCUCCAGACUGCUUUCCAGAGUAGUUGCACAAAUUGCCAUCCCACCAGCAAU